AAAGUCGUAACAAGGUCUCCGUUGGUGAACCAGCGGAGGGAUCAUUACCGAGUUUACAACUCCCAAACCCCUGUGAACAUACCUUUAUGUUGCCUCGGCGGAUCAGCCCGCGCCCCGUAAAACGGGACGGCCCGCCGCAGGAACCACAAAACUCUGAUUUUAGUGUAACUUCUGAGUCUAAAAAACAAAUAAAUCAAAACUUUCAACAACGGAUCUCUUGGUUCUG
rnacentral:misc_RNA from 1 species